rnacentral:tRNA from 1 species
CGAGUUCCGGGUUCGAGUCCCGGGCAACCCA